CGGACUAGACACUAGAGCAACUGCCACUCAACUUGGCUCAAUUUGGUUGGUAUCUGGUUCUGACCCUACUGUCCAGUCAUGCCUGAUAUACGCUGAGACACAGAAGUGUUUCCUCUGUGGAGGAACAACUUGAAAUCCUUCGAUAUUACCAUAAUAAAGACUACCUACGGUGACCUCCCCAGCCCAGGAAAUGUGACCAGACAGCCUUCAUUCAAUACCGGUAUUCAUACAUUACAUAAAGCAAUCAGCAUCUUCCCAGGAAAAUCCUCUCAGCUGCUAUGGAGGAAAAAGAACUCUGUCAGAGUGACAAGCAAAAAAAAAUUGAAGUACAUUUCUUUUCUCUCUAGAGACACUAGUUAAUGAAAUAAAACAUGUAGCCCUUUAAAAUGCUGCAACCAUGAGGCCCCACGUCUUGAAAGCUCCUCUCGUUUUGCUGCUGUGGGACCAUAACAAUUUAGCAGCAGCAGCAAGCCCUUGAACCAAGAUGCACAGAAGGAGGGAUUCCUUGCUGGACUUCACAAAAACAACCCAAGAGACCCAUCAACUCCGGUGUCCCCAAGUGAACUGGUAGUAGGACUGUAAUAAGAGACACAAACUUGGCCAAAAGACUAACCAAGCCAGAUAGUAAAGGGCAUCUGUAAGGGAUGUUACUAUCCCUGCCUUCUGCUAUGGGUACACAGGAUUCCAGGACACAUGAAAAAUGUAAAACCACCUUCCUCCAAAACUUCUACAUCAUCACUCCAUUUUCAGCAUUGGAAAACCAUACAUAACAUGGUUUUUUCCUUAGAUUCCAGUGCUUACUUACUCUCCAAGGAUGCCUUAUAUGGCAGAAAGUCAAACUGUAAUUUUUUUUAAAUUUCACUAUACUUUCCUUUUGAUUGGCUCACAUAAGUGAUAUAAAUAUCCAUUUUUAGCCGUAUCUAAAAGAGAGCAUAUAAAUAUGUGUAACAUGGAAGUCUAUUUAGCAAGGAUGUAUCUUUUCUUAGUGGCAGAUAAAACAACUGUGCGUUUUACAAUCGAUGACAUCUUAAAUUCCAUGUAAUAAGGCAGAGUUAACCUACAUUGACACCUCUUCUACCAAAUACCAUGUUUUUGUGUGAUGUGGUCACAUUACAGCAUCACCCAUUUUGUGUUUCUUAAUGUAUCUUCAGGUUCAUUUACUAUAAUUUUAUGUUAGAAUAUCCUCUAAGGCUGUGUGUUGUUUUUGUUUUGUCUUUGUUUUUGUUUUUUAAGGAAAAGGACCUGCUUCAGAUAGAGGGCUUUGAAAUAAAACCCAAAUUAGGGACAGUCCCUACAUCAGAGAUCUAUAUUAUGUAAGAGAAGGUUUUUUUCAAAUUACUACACAUAGCCCAAGUCUCUAUAGCACCAAAAAAAAAAAAAAAAAAAAAAAAAAAACCAGUGAAUUCUUCACAAUCCCAAGUAAAGUAAAUCCUUGCAAUUAAGGUAAACUCGGUAUGUACGGGAGAGGGAGGGGGCGGUUGUUUCCCGUUGUGUAGUUCCUUAAUGAUGCCUAAUCCUCAACACCUGAGAAAUAGGUACGCUGUGAAAGCUCAAAACCAAGAAGAGAAAGAGACUAGACUCUGGUGUCCUGCCUUCUCUGAUCGUCCCAAGGACUUACUACAACAGUGUCAAGCCUCUCAGUUCUCAACAGACCUUGAGACACAGGCUGCAGUAAACUACCCUGAAGCUUGAGAACUAUUCAUUCUGCCACCCUGAGUACCUCCCCGUAUUUUA